rnacentral:lncRNA from 1 species
UUCACUUGUGCCUCUGUAACCAGAGCAGCAGCGCCAAUUCUACGGUGGACUUGGAUAAACUGAGUUUCUGGAGAAAGUAGAAUAUUUCUAGGGUAAACAAACCGGGAGAAACAUGUUCACCAACAGCUGCAUGAGAUCCCAAUUGUCCUUGCAGGCAAGCUGCUCCUCCAGCAAAGGUUUUUCUCCUCCUGUCUUUCUCAUAAUGGGGGCCAGGGAUGAUUAGAGAUACCCGUACUCGUUCUGACGGCUCCACAUCAUUGUGCUGACCUGGGCAGGGGUGGUGGGGAGUCUGUUCAUCAUAAACGUCCCAUGGAAC